rnacentral:rRNA from 1 species
UACGUAGGGGGCUAGCGUUGUCCGGAAUCAUUGGGCGUAAAGCGCUCGUAGGCGGCCCGGUAAGUCCGCUGUAAAAGUCAAAGGCUCAACCUUUGAAUGUCAGUGGAUACUGCCGGGCUAGAGUCCGGAAGAGGCGAGUGGAACUCCUGGUGUAGCGGUGGAAUGCGCAGAUAUCGUAAGGAAGACCAGUGGCGAAGGCGGGUCUCUGGACAGUUCCUGACGCUGAGGCACGAAGGUCAGGGGAGCAAACGGG